AGCGAACGCUGGCGGCAGGCCUAACACAUGCAAGUCGAACGAACUCUUCGGAGUUAGUGGCGGACGGGUGAGUAACACGUGGGAACGUGCCUUUAGGUUCGGAAUAACUCAGGGAAACUUGUGCUAAUACCGAAUGUGCCCUUCGGGGGAAAGAUUUAUCGCCUUUAGAGCGGCCCGCGUCUUAUUGGCUAGUUGGUGAGGUAACGGCUCACCAAGGCGACGAUCAGUAGCUGGUCUGAGAGGAUGACCAGCCACACUGGGACUGAGACACGGCCCAGACUCCUACGGGAGGCAGCAGUGGGGAAUCUUGCGCAAUGGGCGAAAGCCUGACGCAGCCAUGCCGCGUGGAUGAUGAAGGUCUUAGGAUUGUAAAAUCCUUUCACCGGUGAAGAUAAUGACUGUAGCCGGAGAAGAAGCCCCGGCUAACUUCGUGCCAGCCUUUGCAGUAAGAC
rnacentral:rRNA from 1 species